AUUGAACGCUGGCGGCAGGCCUAACACAUGCAAGUCGAGCGGAAACGAGUUAUCUGAACCUUCGGGGAACGAUAACGGCGUCGAGCGGCGGACGGGCGAGUAAUGCCUAGGAAAUUGCCCUGAUGUGGGGGAUAACCAUUGGAAACGAUGGCUAAUACCGCAUGAUGCCUACGGGCCAAAGAGGGGGACCUUCGGGCCUCUCGCGUCAGGAUAUGCCUAGGUGGGAUUAGCUAGUUGGUGAGGUAAGGGCUCACCAAGGCGACGAUCCCUAGCUGGUCUGAGAGGAUGAUCAGCCACACUGGAACUGAGACACGGUCCAGACUCCUACGGGAGGCAGCAGUGGGGAAUAUUGCACAAUGGGCGCAAGCCUGAUGCAGCCAUGCCGCGUGUAUGAAGAAGGCCUUCGGGUUGUAAAGUACUUUCAGUCGUGAGGAAGGCGGCGUCGUUAAUAGCGGCGUUGUUUGACGUUAGCGACAGAAGAAGCACCGGCUAACUCCGUGCCAGCAGCCGCGGUAAUACGGAGGGUGCGAGCGUUAAUCGGAAUUACUGGGCGUAAAGCGCAUGCAGGUGGUUUGUUAAGUCAGAUGUGAAAGCCCGGGGCUCAACCUCGGAAUAGCAUUUGAAACUGGCAGACUAGAGUACUGUAGAGGGGGGUAGAAUUUCAGGUGUAGCGGUGAAAUGCGUAGAGAUCUGAAGGAAUACCGGUGGCGAAGGCGGCCCCCUGGACAGAUACUGACACUCAGAUGCGAAAGCGUGGGGAGCAAACAGG
rnacentral:rRNA from 1 species